rnacentral:rRNA from 1 species
CUACGGGUUGCUGCAGUCGAGAAUAGUCUACAAUGGACGAAAGUCUGAUAGUGCGACGCCGCGUGGAUGAAGAAGCAUUUCGGUGUGUAAAGUCCUUUUCUGUGUGAGCAAUGUUUUCCAGGUUAAUAGCUUGGAGAAAGCGAUAUUAACACAGGAAUAAGCUCCGGCUAACUCCGUGCCAGCAGCCGCGGUAACACGGGGGGAGCAAGCGUUGUCCGGAAUUACUAGGCGUAAAGGGUAAGUAGGCGGAAUUGUAAGUGAGAUGUUAAAGGCACCGGCUCAACCGGUGUAUGGCAUUUGAUACUGUAAUUCUAGAGUAAGGUGGGGGAAGACGGAAUUCCUGGUGUAGCGGUGGAAUGCGCAGAUAUCAGGAGGAACACCAGAGGCGCAGGCGGUCUUCUAUACCAUUACUGACGCUCAAUUACGAAGGUGUGGGUAUCAAACAGGAUUAGAUACCCUGGUAGUC